GCAGAAAUGGAAAUGGAGUUCGAGCUGCUGCUUCAGCAGCAGCUGCUGCUGUUAUUAAAAACUUUUUGCGUAAUUGGCAACUUUGUAGACAGAGUCAGAAGGAGAGCAAAUGAAGCGUUAACUUCGCAAAAAAUGGAGAUA